AUGGCACAGGCACAGGUGUUACAAUCGCCACUCUGGAGACGAGGCUUAUCUAGAUCAAGUGUGCAGCUGGAUAAUUUUUUGAGGAUAACCUCAGCAUGUUCUCGAGGCCAUAGCCGAGCACCAAGAGAAGCAUAUCCAAGUGUGCAGAUGCUUUUCAGCCUCUGCGUGGUCACCUUCACAAACACCCACUGGCCAAGCUUAAAGCCACUGCGAGAAGGCACCACAAAGACAAGAGGAGAGAGGAAAGAAUUGGAGGCAUGGAUCGAUAUACAGGUGAUGGUAAUCCUAACAGCUAUUGGGUAUGUUAUCUUGCUAAACUCUGUUCAUAAUCAUCUCCUUUAAUCUGCCUGCAACCCCACAAGAGAGGUACAAUGAUCAUUCUGAGUUUGUGGAUGGGGAAUAGAGCCUUUGAGAAGAGAGGGCAUAUAUUUAAUAGUAGAGAUACAACCUUGGACUUCAUUUUCCUAACUCCAGAGCCUAUGCAUUUAAUGUCUUCCAUUCAUUGCCCUGUUGAGGUAGAGCAGAUUGUUUUCCUAGUAGAUUUUUUUUUUCUAAAGGACCUUUCCUUAUAGAAUCUUCUAUCUUGGUUGAUAAUGAGGAGACAACAUAUGGUAAAAAUAACUGUGUGCUCGGAUUGCUCCUUUGCUCUGAAUGCACUUGGUGCAGAUUCAGCUCUGCCCCCCAUUGCUGACUCACUAGGGGCCCACUGCCCCCUCCCUCCAAAGUGGUGGACAAGUCUCAGAUAUUAAUUAGAAGACAAUGGGAUCCAAAUGUUAUCUGUGCUGUACCACCCUGCACCUCUGUGUCCGUGCUUUGUCAUUAUUCUCUUAGGAUUUGAGUUACUCUUGUGCUAUUUCCUCAAGCAUAUAUCUUGAGUGGUUAUGUGAAUAUAGGAGAUGCUCAAUUAAUUCCAUACUCUGACUUAAACACCUACACACCUCCCCAGUGCAGCAGUUAUUAGUGUAGAGAACUGGAACACACCUGGCACCAAAUUUGGUGUUCACGCACCAAAUUCUGUGUCCUCGUCCUUCUCACCAUUCUUGGCUCAGUGCUUAAGAAGUCAACCUUUUCUUUUCUUUCACUUCAUGUCUUUCUUUCUUUUCUCUUUUUUUUUUUUUUUGCUUGAAAAGAGAGAAGAUGGUUACUUGAAGGCAGAGGAUGUAUGUGUGUAUGUGUGCAUGUGUGUGUGAGAAAUGUCUGUGUCUUUUUCUGACAGAGACAAAUCAGUGAAUAAAAAUAAUUUGGGAAACA
rnacentral:lncRNA from 12 species